UCUACCACACAGAUCAGGUCUACACCACAGGCCAGGUCUCUACCACACAGGUCAUUUCUCUAUCACACCGACCAGGUCUUUACCACACAGGCCAGGUCUCUAUCACACAGGUCAGGUCUCUAUCGCAAAGGUUAGGUCUUCACCACACAUCAAGGUGUCCACCACAGAGGUCCGGUCGGUAUCACCCAUGUCAGGUCUAUACCACAGAGGCCAGGUCUCUACCACCUUACUCCCAGAACACAUAGAUCAGUUUAUAGAAAAAAAUCACAACUAAAUGAAAUCUAAUUUCAAUUACAUAUUAGUCAACGUGACUUGUUUCUUGUUUUCUAGAAUUUGAGAUCAGGUGAUACCUAUCUAAGUCCAGUAUAGAAAAUAUAAAUCUAUAAUCAAGAUGUCGAGCAAUCAAGGUAAAAAUAAAACCAAUCUGAUGACAGAACAAAACAAGACAAGACAUCAGCUAGAAGACUUACAUAAAGAUCAUGACCUUAUUAAACAGGAAUUAGAGAACCUGAAGAAACAGAUGGAAACAUUAAAAACAAGGCAAGAUGGAGAUUCCAAACAGAUGUUGAAGAAAGUCGAAAAACUUGAAACAUACAAAAAGCAAACUGAAGAGAAAGAAGCUCUGACAAAGAAGAGAAUUGAUGAGUUGGAGACAUGUUUUAAAAUUCUAACCCUAAAUGAGGAAGAUACACGUCAACAACAACAACAAUUAUUUGAUGCCUGUCUACAUGGUACUUUGAAUGAUAUAAAAAAGAUAGCAAACAUAGAUGUUAACGUCAGAAACAGUGACGACCUGACACCGUUAUUUAAAUGUUGUGAAUCAAGUGUAAGUCCUGUAGAUAAAAUACAAUUUCUAGCCAGUCAUCAGGCCGAUAUUAACGCUAGAGACCGUAAUAAGCAUACCAUCUUACACUGGGCAUGUUGGUUUGGUACUUUAUCUACAGUAGAACAUCUUGUUGAUGAUUUAAACAUGAAUGUUAAUAUAGAAGCUUGGCUAUAUCAUACGCCGUUA